ACGCUCGACACCUACGGGAGACAGCAGUGGGGAAUAUUGCACAAUGGGGGAAACCCUGAUGCAGCGACGCCGCGUGGAGGAAGAAGGUCUUCGGAUUGUAAACUCCUGUUGUUGGGGAAAAAGAGGAUGGUACCCAACAAGGAAGUGACGGCUAACUACGUGCCAGCAGCGAGCGGUAAUCUGGAGCGGGGCUAGGCAAGGC
rnacentral:rRNA from 1 species